UACGGGGGGAGCAAGCGUUGUUCGGAUUUACUGGGCGUAAAGGGCGCGUAGGCGGUCAGCACAAGUCAGUUGUGAAAUCUCCGGGCUUAACCCGGAAACUGCCAUUGAUACUAUUUGUCUUGAAUACCGUGGAGGUCAGCGGAAUAUGUCAUGUAGCGGUGAAAUGCUUAGAUAUGACAUAGAACACCAAUUGCGAAGGCAGCUGGCUACACGAAUAUCGACACUGAUGCACGAAAGCGUGGGGAUCAAACAGG
rnacentral:rRNA from 1 species